UAAUAAGUGUUUUAUGGCACUUUUUAAAUCCAUAUCCACCUUGUGUGCAAUGUCAGUCGAUCUUCUUCAUGGAGAUCGACCAAACAUCAACCUUUAUCUUUUAACUCUUUGUCUGAGAAAUAUUAUGAAUAAACAAUUCAAAAUA
rnacentral:misc_RNA from 1 species